rnacentral:rRNA from 1 species
CUACACCGUAACUUCGGAAGAAGGUGUGCCGCUAGUAGGUGAAGGUGUACAACUGGAGCCCAACGCGGUUGCAAAAAAUAGGUGGCUGCGACUGUUUAUUAAAAACACAGCACUCUGCAAACACGAAAGUGGACGUAUAGGGUGUGACGCCUGCCCGGUGCCGGAAGGUUAAAUGAUGGGGUGCAAGCUCUUGAUUGAAGCCCCGGUAAACGGCGGCCGUAACAAUAACGGUCCUAAGGUAGCGAAAUUCCUUGUCGGGUAAGUUCCGACCUGCACGAAUGGCGUAACGAUGGCCACACUGUCUCCAACCGAGACUCAGCGAAGUUGAAAUGUUUGUGAUGAUGCAAUCUACCCGCGGCUAGACGGAAAGACCCCGUGCACCUUUACUGUAGCUUUGCAUGGGACUGUGAACCGAUCUGUGUAGGAUAGCUGGGAGGCUUUGAAGCAGGGGCGCUAGCUCUUGUGGAGCCAACCUUGAAAUACCAGCCUGGUUUGUUUGCGGUUCUAACCUACGCUCGUGAAUCCGGGCGGGGGACAGUGCAUGGUAGGCAGUUUGACUGGGGCUCUCCCCCCAAAGAGUAACGGAGGAGCUCGAAGGUACGCUAGGCACGGUCGGAAAUCGUGCUAAUAGUGCAAUGGCAUAAGCGUGCUUAACUGCGAGACUGACAAGUCGAGCAGGUGCGAAAGCAGGACAUAGUGAUCCGGUGGUUCUGUAUGGAAGGGCCAUCGCUCAACGGAUAAAAGGUACCCGGGGAUAACAGGCUGAUGACCCCCAAGAGUUCAUAUCGACGGGGUCGUUUGGCACCUCGAUGUCGGCUCAUCUCAUCCUGGGGCUGUAGCCGGUCCCAAGGGUAUGGCUGUUCGCCAUUUAAAGAGGUACGUGAGCUGGGUUUAAAACGUCGUGAGACAGUUUGGUCCCUAUCUGCCGUGGGCGUUGGAUGCUUGAAGGGGGCUGCUCCUAGUACGAGAGGACCGGAGUGGACGAACCUCUGGUGUACCGGUUGUGACGCCAGUCGCAUCGCCGGGUAGCUAAGUUCGGAAGAGAUAACCGCUGAAAGCAUCUAAGCGGGAAACUCGCCUUAAGAUGAGACAUCCCGGGGACUUGAUCCCCCUAAAGGGUCGCGGAAGACCACCGCGUUGAUAGGUCGGAUGUGGAAGCGCAGUAAUGCGUUAAGCUAACCGAUACUAAUUGCCCGUGCGGCUUGACCCC